UGUCCACACCAGUUCAACCUGCAGGUCUCACAUAGGGUCCACACCAGUACAACAUGCAGAUCUCACAAGAUAGUCCACACCAGUUCAACAUGCAGGUCUCACAAGAUAGUCCACACCAGUACAAGAUGCAGGUCUCACAAGAUAGUCCACACCAGUACAAGAUGCAGGUCUCACAAGAUGGCCCACACCAGUACAACAUGCAGGUCUCACCAGGGUGUCCACACCAAUACAACAUGUAGUUCUUACCAGGAUGUCCACACCACUACAACAUACAGGUCUCACAAGAUAGUCCACACCGGUACAACAUGCAGGUCUCACCAGGUUUUACUGUCAGAAUGAGGAAUGAGGAAAGCCCCGUGGUUUCUUAAACACAUCUCAGAGAAACGCUUACACUCUGCGUAUGGAAACUUUACCCACCCUCCAACUCUCUUUUAAAUUUUUUCAUUUUAUUUUAUGUGUUGGUAUAUAAUUUAUGUAUUAUUUAUCAUUGAAUUGUGUGUGUAUUUAUUUCGUUUCUCCGUCUCUAGUUUGGGUUACUAUUUUGUUUAGUGCUUGUGACAGUCAGUGUGAUUUUAUGCACUUUGUUUAACGGGAAAAGCAUCUGGUUUCCAUACACAGUCUCGGGGCAGUAGAGGUGCUAAUAUCAUUGGGUAGAGUGUGUUCUGUCUAAUUUUACUGCAUAAAUUAAACUGCUGCCAAACAGUUAAACCA